CUUCAUCUCUAACAAAAAGGAAAUCCACUUCAAUAUGCUUAGCUCGAGCAUGCAAAAUAGGAUUUUGGCCGAGAGAUAAGUAGCACCCAAACCACAAUGCUAGUGGAGAAGAGAGACACCCAAUUUUUACAAGAGAGAGCACAACCAAACUUAGUUAUAGUAUUAGUAAUUGCUCUACACUCAAACUCUGUGGAAGAUUUGGUAAUGAUUGUGUAUGAGAGGACCAUAAAAUAAGAGUGCUACGAAGGUAUGGUAAACUCACUUAUUCAUUUGGGAUCGUCUAGGCAACCAACCAAAUUCGCAUGUAAAAAGGAUAGCAAUAAACUAGUAGAAGUCUUUCAAAUGAAUAGCACAAAAGUGAUAGUGUCCUUCA
rnacentral:lncRNA from 1 species